UACGAAGGGGGCUAGCGUUGCUCGGAAUCACUGGGCGUAAAGCGCACGUAGGCGGAUUGCUAAGUCAGGGGUGAAAUCCUGGAGCUCAACUCCAGAACUGCCUUUGAUACUGGCGACCUUGAGUCCGGGAGAGGUGAGUGGAACUGCGAGUGUAGAGGUGAAAUUCGUAGAUAUUCGCAAGAACACCAGUGGCGAAGGCGGCUCACUGGCCCGGUACUGACGCUAAGGCGCGAAAGCGUGGGGAGCAAACAGG
rnacentral:rRNA from 1 species